UGCAAAUUUUGUUUUGUCAACACAAGUUGACUGGAAGUUUGCCAUUAUUGGCUAAGUGUGGUGGCAAAUCACUGGCAAACACAUUUGCCAUUAGUGGCAAACUUCUCAUUGUUGCCAGAACUUUGCUGGAAGUUUUCCUGUAGCG